rnacentral:ncRNA from 1 species
AUUGCCCCUGCUGGCCGGGCUUAAAAUGCCAGAGCGGUACGGCGCGGAGUGGCCGCGCGUUUAGAAAUUAAAUCCAUACCGAGAAAGGAAA